rnacentral:rRNA from 1 species
UACGUAGGUGACAAGCGUUGUCCGGAUUUACUGGGCGUAAAGAGCGCGCAGGCGGUCGUUCAAGUCGAGUGUGAAAGCCCCCGGCUCAACUGGGGAGGGUCAUUCGAUACUGAAUCGACUCGAAGGCAGGAGAGGGAAGUGGAAUUCCCGGUGUAGUGGUGGAAAUGCGUAGAUAUCGGGAGGAACACCAGUGGCGAAGGCGGACUUCCUGGCCUGUUCUUGACGCUGAGG